rnacentral:rRNA from 1 species
CCAGACAGCCAGGAUGUUGGCUUAGAAGCAGCCAUCAUUUAAAGAAAGCGUAAUAGCUCACUGGUCGAGUCGGCCUGCGCGGAAGAUGUAACGGGGCUAAACCAUGCACCGAAGCUGCGGCAGCGACACUAUGUGUUGUUGGGUAGGGGAGCGUUCUGUAAGCCUGCGAAGGUGUGCUGUGAGGCAUGCUGGAGGUAUCAGAAGUGCGAAUGCUGACAUAAGUAACGAUAAAGCGGGUGAAAAGCCCGCUCGCCGGAAGACCAAGGGUUCCUGUCCAACGUUAAUCGGGGCAGGGUGAGUCGACCCCUAAGGCGAGGCCGAAAGGCGUAGUCGAUGGGAAACAGGUUAAUAUUCCUGUACUUGGUGUUACUGCGAAGGGGGGACGGAGAAGGCUAUGUUGGCCGGGCGACGGUUGUCCCGGUUUAAGCGUGUAGGCUGGUUUUCCAGGCAAAUCCGGAAAAUCAAGGCUGAGGCGUGAUGACGAGGCACUACGGUGCUGAAGCAACAAAUGCCCUGCUUCCAGGAAAAGCCUCUAAGCAUCAGGUAACAUCAAAUCGUACCCCAAACCGACACAGGUGGUCAGGUAGAGAAUACCAAGGCGCUUGAGAGAACUCGGGUGAAGGAACUAGGCAAAAUGGUGCCGUAACUUCGGGAGAAGGCACGCUGAUA